GUCUCUAUCACUCUGCUUUUCAAAUAAAUAAUUCUUCAAAAAGGAAACAUGCUAAGCCCAUCCUCAGAGUUUCUAAAUCAGUAGGCCUAUGGAGAGGCUAAAAAUUAUAUUUCCUAUUGAGGGUCAUUGUUCUGGAAGAACACAUUCAGAAGGAAACAAACCACUAAAUCAUUACAAUCAGAAGUUUUAAAUCAGCUUUUCUUGGACAUGUGAGAGCCAGAGACUUGGCAUUAAUAUUAUUCACUGUUCUAGUGCCUUUUGUCUCCAACUUCCAGAAACCAUGGAACUAAGUAGACCCAGCCUCCCUACUUCUCAUCUUCUAGGGCAGGUCAGCAAGUGCAGGAGCCAGUCUGUAGUCCAUUCACAUUGGUCCUGGAGCCCCAGAAUAGAACAGGCAGAUAUUCUUCUCAACAGUAAAUUAUUAGUAUUAACUAACAUUUAAGAGCUCUGUGAUUUUCUUCAUCUACCGAAGAGGAAAUUGAGGCUUUGAGAUAUGAAAUAGUGUUUCCAGAGUCUCCUAACCAGUAAUUGACAGAGCCAGAGUUUGAACCUGAGUUUGCCUGAUGCCACAGCACACUCUUGUUUUGAUGGGCAGGCUGCCUGCCUCUCCCAGGUGAUCUGGAACAGUCCACAGAGCACAAAGCAAGAAGACACAAGACUAAACCCAAGUAAUAUGGAUCUGAGAUUCUCUUUGGAGAAGAGGCAACCAAGCUAGAGACCUCUAAUGACAGGGUGUUAGUAACCUAAGCAUAAAUGUCACACUCUGUGGUCUCAUUUGCUUCACAGUCAUCAUGUAGGUUCAGAGCAGGUAGUGAGU